CCCUUCUGCGCGCCCAGGGUACGGGUGAUUUGGCUUUGCCUUCCUUGGCUUUUUGGAACUUGGGAAAAGGUACCGAGGUGCAUGGAUAUGGAGAAGAGAAGCUCUCCUGCUGUGGCUGAGAGGUGAUCCAAAGGAGGCCUCCCGAGCAAGCACCACAAAGGCAGCUUGCUUCUCCAGAGGCUGCAGCAUAAGCUCGUGUUCCUUGUGGAGGACUCCGUUGUGCAUCUGCAGGAGCUGCUUUGGCAUGGA